rnacentral:rRNA from 1 species
CAGUCGCCGCGGGAAUACGAAGGGGGCUAGCGUUGUUCGGAAUCACUGGGCGUAAAGGGUGCGUAGGCGGAUUCUUAAGUCAGGGGUGAAAUCCCGAGGCUCAACCUCGGAACUGCCUUUGAUACUGGGGAUCUUGAGUCCGGAAGAGGUGAGUGGAACUGCGAGUGUAGAGGUGAAAUUCGUAGAUAUUCGCAAGAACACCAGUGGCGAAGGCGGCUCACUGGUCCGGAACUGACGCUGAGGCACGACAGCGUGGGGAGCAAACAGGAUUAGAGACCCGCGUAGUCCUGUCUCUUAUACC